GAUAAACGCUGGCGGCGUGCAUAACACAUGCAAGUCGAACGAAGUGGCGAACGGGUGAGUAACACGUGAGUAACCUGCCUUACACAAGGGGAUAGCCUUUGGAAACGAAGAAUAAUACCCUAUAGUGUAAGAUGGACUUGCGUCUGAUUAGCUAGUUGGUGAGAUAAAAGCCCACCAAGGCGACGAUCAGUAGCCGGCUUGAGAGAGUGUACGGCCACAUUGGGACUGAGACACGGCCCAAACUCCUACGGGAGGCAGCAGUGGGGAAUUUUGCACAAUGGGGGAAACCCUGAUCCAGCCAUGCCGCGUGUAUGAAGAAGGUCUUCGGAUUGUAAAGCACUUUAAGUUGGGAGGCGUUACCAACAGAAUAAGCACCGGCUAACUUCGUGCCAGCAGCCGCGGUAAUUC
rnacentral:rRNA from 1 species